rnacentral:rRNA from 1 species
GGUAUUGUGACUAAAGGUGACCUCUCCUUGGAAGUUACCGUUUAGAGAUGGGCUUGCGGACCAUUAGCUAGUUGGUGAGGUAACGGCUCACCAAGGCUACGAUGGAUAGCCGGCCUAAGAGGGUGAUCGGCCACAUUGGAACUGAGAUACGGCCCAGACUCCUACGGGAGGCAGCAGUAGGGAAUCUUGCGCAAUGGACGAAAGUCUGACGCAGCGACGCCGCGUGAGGGAUGACGGCCUUCGGGUUGUAAACCUCUGUUGAGUGGGAAGAAAAGCUUUGUGGUUAAUAUCCACAGAGUCUGACGGUACCACUCGAGGAAGCUCCGGCUAACUACGUGCCAUCAUCCGGGGUACUACGUAUGGGGCUAUCGUUGUUCGGAAUCACUGGGCGUAAAGGGAGUGUAUGCGGACCGGUAAGUUAGGAGUUAAAUGUACGGGCUCAACCCGUGAUCUGCUUUUAAUACUGUCGGUCUUGAGUAUGGGAGAGGGAGAUGGAAUUCCAGGUGUAGCGGUGGAAUGCGUAGAUAUCUGGAAGAACACCAGUUGCGAAUGCGGCCUCCUGGACCAAUACUGACGCUGAUGCUCGAAAGCUGGGGGAGCGAACAGGAUAAGAUACCCUGGUAGUCCCAGCCGUAAACGAUGGACACUAGUUGCCGGAGGAGUCAAUCCAUUCGGUGACGAAGCUAACGCAUUAAGUGUCCCGCCUGGGGAGUACGCUCGCAAGGGUGAAACUCAAAGGAAUUGACGGGGGCCCGCACAAGCGGUGGAGCAUGUGCUUUAAUUCGAUGCAACGCGAAGAACCUUACCUGGGCUUGACAUGGGGGUGAAAGUUUCCAGAGAUGGAAGCCUUUCCUUCGGGAACACCACACACAGGUGCUGCAUGGUUGUCGUCAGCUCGUGUCGUGAGAUGUUGGGCUAAGUCCCGCAACGAGCGCAACACCUGCCACUAGUUGCCAUCAGGUAAAGCUGGGAACUCUAAGGGGACAGCUUGGUAUAACCAGGAGGAAGGUGGGGAUGACGUCAAAUCAUCAUGGCUCUUACGCCCAGGGCUAGACACGUGCUGCAAUGGCAGGUACA